rnacentral:rRNA from 1 species
CAAAAACAUCUUUUCUUGUUAGUUUUUGAAGUAUGGCCUGCCCACUGACAUUUAAGUUGAAGGGCCGCGGUAUUUUGACCGUGCAAAGGUAGCAUAAUCAUUAGUUCUUUAAUUGUGAUCUGGUAUGAAUGGCUUGACGAGAUAUAAACUGUCUUAGAGGUAUUUGUUGAAAUUGGGGUUUGAGUUAAAAUUCUUAAAUGUUUUUAUGGGACGAGAAGACCCUAUAGAGUUUGACAUUUGUUUUUCUAUAUUUUAUUGUUUGUUUUUAUUUAUUAGUUGAAUAAGUGUUUUGUUGGGGUGAUGGGAGGAAUUUAUUUAACUCCUCUUUAUUUUUGUAUAUUUAUGUAUGUGUGUUUGAUCCAUUUAUUUUGAUUAUAAAAUUAAAUUACCUU